GGUGUCUGUGAGUCAGUACUGAGCCCCUACGGUCGGUACUGAGCCGAUACCGUCAGUGCUGAGCCCCUACGGCCAGUACUGGGCCCAUACGGUCAGUGCUGAGCCCAUACGGUCGGUGCUGAGCCCAUACGGUCGGUGCUGAGCCCAUACGGUCGGUGCUGAGCCCAUACCUUCAGUACUGAGCCCAUACCUUCAGUACUGAGCCCAUACCUUCAGUACUGAGCCCAGAUAGGCAUUGCUGCGUCCAUCCUUACCACCACCUCAAUUUUGCUAUGAUGGAGAUUUAGGUUUAGAAUUGUGUGCAAGAGGGACUGUGUGUAUUAAAAGCAAUACGCAGCGUGGCGCGCUGAUAGCUUUGGCAUGUGUUACAUAGUACAGCGUGCACGCUUUGACAUUGAGCCUUCCAUGUGGUGUCCCAGCUCUGCACACUGCUAUGCCUCUUCUUAAAGCAUAAGAACAUCAAUUCUUGCUUUCUUCUCUGCUUAUUAGUCCUUAAAGUUAGGACGGUGUGUGUGUCUGAAGCAAUUCACAUGCAACAAACCAUUGAUAGCAUUUAACAUCAACCUGGGAGCGAUCAGAACUUGUCUGUAUGGUUUGAUCUCCACGUCACUGUCUGAAUGAGAGACUGGUUGUGGCUUGUGGAAAAGAAACAUGGUGAUGCAGCACUUAAGGACAUGGUUUAAUGGGCUGUAUUGGUGGUAAGCAGACAGCUGGACUGGGUGAUCGUAGAGGUCUUUUCCAACCUGAAUGAUUCAGUGGACAGAGUGCAGCAAAGCAAGUCUUUAAAUGCUCUGUAUGGAAUGAGAUGUAUCUGAUAUGGGAGGCCUAAGUUGGUGCAAAGACUUCUUUUAAAAGCAUAAAGAAUAUCUGAGAAAUGCGAGUGUUUAUCUCUUGUUGCUCUAGUGGCAUUAAGCUUAAAAGCUGAUGAGGGACUUGGGGCUUUAGUUGCCUAAUACUUUUCCAUUAGAAAAGCUGUUUAAUAAUUUUGAGUAAACUGAAACUUUCCUUGUUUAUAACAGGCCUUUGAAAAGUGUCAAGUGCUCUGGAGCAGUGUUUUGUCUUCUGAAAUUCUAUUCAGGUUUGCCUGACAAACAUAUCCGGAUAUGUUUAUGUUUCCAUACCACUGGUUGCUUUAUCAUAAAAUAUUAAGUAUGCCAGAUUAUAAACAAGAGCUUCUUCCAUGCUGCAGCUGUAGGGGUCCAUUAUGUGCAGAGCUUCCCUGGGAUGCUGGAAGAAACAGAUUCAGAUUCAUGAUGCAGCAUUCCUCUUCAUCAGGCCUUUUGUUUUCAUUGGUGUUUUAAUCUGUCUGAAAGUGGUAAUGGAGGAAAUAAGACGUAAAACUUUGGCUUUAGAGUUCUGCUUGUUAUCUUCACAGUGGCAUUGAGUAGAGGUCUAAGUAAAACUCAGAUUGAUCACUAUAUUGCCUCAGGUUGGCAGAUGAGCUGCACUCUUUGAUUUUUAUCCUUCUCCUCAGGUGCAAUAGAGAUUUUAGUUGUUGUAGAUACUAGAUUAAAAGAACAGCAACCUCUUUUAUGGCAAUAACAGCAGGAUGGACUCUCUGUGAACUCUCUAACACCCCAGAAAGUGCUUCCUAUUGCAGUAAGUGACUGAAGAUGAUGCUGGCCUUGAAAAGGGACGUGGCUUGGGCAAACUGUUAACUCAGUGGCAGCACCAACUCAAUGGCAAUGAUUAUUUUCUCUGCAGGAGUUCAAAACCUUGCAUGGUUGUGGUGACUUUUUGUUAUGUUGCUUCUGUGUUGGAGUCUCCAAUAAACUCUCAAGGGUAGUUGUUAUAAUGGAAAGAAAACAGGUGAACUUUUUCACUUGAGAACUUGUCAGUUAUGUGAGAUGUAGAGAUAGACCAAAUCCUCACUUCUUUGUUGGGUGCUGGCUUCCAUCCUCUGUGUUCCAUCAUAUCCCAAGCACAAGGGGCAGUUAAGUACCAUCAGAACCAGCUGGGAUGAAAGUGAACCUGGUGAUGAGCUCUGCAUUUUCCCCUUUAGGUGCUGUAAUAAAGAUGGACAUUCAGUUUCUGAAGCUUUACAAGCAUCUGUGAGAACUGUAGCAACCUAUAACUGCACUGAUUUAAUGUGAGGAAUGAAGAUACUCUCCUCUGCUGCCUGUGUACCUUUAUAAGCAAAAGUAUUUUGUGAGAUAAUAGCAAUGGGGUAUAUGCAGCCUGUCCUGUAUUAUUAGUCUGUUAGGCUUCCCACUGGUCUCUUAAAGCAGUUUGUUUGUGUAUGGCUCUGAUGUUUGUAGUUAUGCUGUACUGUUUUAGUUGGAGAUGUCCUGUCUCUACAACAUCCAAAAUACAUAUUUAUUUUAAGCUGUAUCUUCUGAAAUCCAGUGUUAUAUUUUUGACCUUUCGGUCACUACUUGGAUGCAUCUUGUAAUCCAGUAUUUAAAGUCUUUCUUUUUUCCUGUAUGAAAUAGAUCUGUUGUCAGGUCUAUUGAAGGCAGUAUUUCAUUUCAAAGGAUUGAGUACUUAAAACCACUGUGUAAAAUGUCAAAUCGCAGCUAAAUGGGGUUUGUGUGCUAUCCUCCUUUUGAAGGAGACUGUCUUUUUCUAUGGCUAAUGAUGAGGAUGAGUCUAAAUCUGGCUGCAACCACAGUGUUCUGUGCACAGUGGGCUGGUUUGCAUGUCCUUGGCUAACCAAGGGGUUCCUAUGGUGAGUGAUGCAGAUCACUCUGACUUUGGCCUUGCAGAGACCUCAACCAAAUUGCUUCCAACCCCGCUGCUUAAAGGGUUUUGAUGUUGGCUUUGUUUUCUCUUUGUUUUUUAACUGAUAGUUUUUGCCUCUUUAUUUAGAAAGACAGCUACAUGUAAAAGACUGGCAGAGCGUUUUUCCUCUGUUAGGCUGUAAUUUAGGGCUGUUUUCAGAGCAAAGAGUGUGUAUGUAAGCAGAGGUGGAAUUUCUAUGCAUGUGUGUUGUGUUGUUUUGGAACUGUUGUAUUUUUACAGUAUUAAAUGUUGUAAUUUACCUGUAACCAGAAGGUAAUCCAGGAAAUCUAUUUACUUUUUGGCUCGCAUGUUAAGUUGCUGUGCUGACAUCAGUUUAUUUUUUGCAGAAGAUGAAUGUUUUGGAGUAUGUCUGUGUUUGACCAAGAUUCAGCCUGGAAGCUUAUGAAGAACUCAGCAUAGUAACGUCCAUUUUCCUCUAAUCCUCUGUUUUGACAUCUGAAAAUAAAAUGCUUCUAAUUCCCAUUUAAUAGGAAUUUUUUAAGGGAAGAAGGCACUUUAUUCUCCUGCAACUGUUUCAUGAUUUCUUCUGGCUUGCAUCAUCUUGCCUGCUUGAAUAGCUGUUUCUGUUAAUGGUGGCAGCUGGUUCUGUGUGUUUGGCUUGUGCCUCCAUGCCAGGGAGCUGGCAGCAGUGCUAUGGGGAAGCCCUGGAUAUACUUCUGUUGUGCCAGGAAGCCCAAAGGAAGAGCUGUGAUGUCCAUGAGAUACUGCAGCCAUUUGAAACCUCCUGACUUCAUAAGGUUUCUUCUGCUGGAAAUAAAUUCAAAGCUCAUCAACUUCCUCAUCCUCUGCA